ensembl:lncRNA
GGGGGGGGGGGGGGGGCCGAGCCCCCGCCGGCUGUUUCUCAGCCGGUGGCAGCCCGCGGGAAGCGGGGGUUCCUGCCCCCGCUCCCUCCGCCGCUCAUGGGCGAGGGGCCCGGGCUCCGCCGUGGGCGAAAAAGUUAAGGGAAAAAAAAAAAAAAGAAAAAAAAAGAACAAAAAAAGAGAGAUAAAACAAUAUGGGGCAUACUUGAAGUUCUCUGACCCUCUCGUGCAAAUCCAGUGUGUCCAUCAUCAUUUUGAGGACUUCAGUAUACGUUUGCAGUAUGAGGAUGAGGAAGAUGAACAGAAAGAGGCCUGGAAAGGAGAUGUCAUGGUUAAACACUAAGAAGGUGAUCUGCUAAAGAAGUUGGGAAACCAACUGUUGUUAACCUGAGUGUCAAAUACUACAGUAGGAGUGCUCUUCCCUGUCUUGCUAUCUGCUUUCUUUCCAUCACUACUAAUGGACUUGUGGAAAGAUGAAAGCUCAAUUCAUAUUUAAUUUACUUAGAAAAAAAUAACAACGUGAGUAUGCUUAUGUAAAUAACAAAAAAUUUUAAAAAUUUAAACAAUUAAUGUCUCUCAAGUGGAGGACAACUUUUUCUUUCUUUUACCUAGCUUCUUGAAAUUCGAAACAUUCUUGUUAAAAUGCCAAUAAUGAAAAAUCCUUUUGCAUUGCUGUUUCCACAAUUCAGAUUCUAAUCAGAUAAACUUCUGUCCUGGCUUUUCUAAAACUUUGUGGGAAAUGUAUAGAUUACUUUAAUAACAGAAAUUUUAAGGAAUUGAUAAGCUAAAUGUCUACUGCACAGUUAAAUGCAGUAUGACCUCUAAGAAUAAAGUCCAAAGCAUUUGAACUCAUAUUUGGAAGCUUAGCUGCUAAAAUGUGAUUCCUUAACAGCAUUGUAGACUCACAAAUAGUCAAAUUGCUGACUAUCUUCCAAAAAGCUCAACUCACUUUUGUUUUGGUAUCUAAACAUGUAUUUAAAAAUUCAACCUUUGGGCACUAGUGGCUGAUUUGUAGGAAAUUUUAAUAGUUCAUUUGACGAUUCGUUUUUAAUGUGCUCACCACCACUAAUUUUGUAAAACUUCUAUGCAUAAACUACUGAAUUCUGCUAUGGUGUCUGUGAGGUCCUGGAUACAGACAUGCAUCUUAAGUGACUGUCAGAACAAGCUCUAGAUGUAUAUCAUUCCUCUUUCCCACUAAUCUAAUGCUGUCAUUUGUGUUGAAUGAGAACCUAAAGAUACAGACAGAAAGUUUUCAAUUUAGACACAUUACCAGUCUGAAUAAAAUUAAAGUAACUGGAUGACAAGAUAAACUCUAAUCCACAUUUUAGGACCACGAGUAAUGAGAAUUCAGUACAGAUAUUUUAAAACAUAAAUAGACAUCUCCUUAUAGACUACAAUGGAACAAUAUCUCAGGGAAGAAUUAUGUAUUUACUAAAGAAUUUCCGAACCUUGCAAAUUCAAGUGAGAAUUCUAUUGUCAUGGUUUUAGAAUUAUCUUAGUUUCCAAAACUAAUGAUGUAGAAUAUAGAAAUUACAUUUAGUGACUUGGGGAUAGAUGCUGUACAGGACUUCAAGGAAAGAUGGCAGUAGGCAUUGGUGGGGUUUAGACAGUAUUUGUUGUUGCAGAGGAACAUUAUUAGUAGAACUGGUAAAAAACGGAACUAAGCAAAAAUAAGGGGUCAAAUAAGGAUAAAGAGCCACAUCCUGCAAAGUGCUGAGCAUACUUUGAAGUGCUGCCCUUAACUCCUGUUGAUUCCUGCAUGCAAGGAGAGUGGAUUCAAAGAACGUGUGUAUGUGCAUGUGUGUGGAAUCAAGGAACCUUAUUUGAACCUGUCUUUGGGUUGUAGCCAAGGACUUUAAGUCAAGACGAUAGUCAGAUGCCUGGGCUAUGGAGUUACUUAAAGCAAAAGAAAAAAAAAAGGAGUAUAGCUGCUUUGGUUUUGAUCUUGUUCAUGUGAUAAAAGUUCCAAUAGCUUUCGAUCCUGCUGGCAGGUCCAAAGACCUUUUCUCAUUAUAUUUAUAUAAAUGUUAAUAACUAUUUCAGUAUUAUUAAUGAUGGCAAGAUUUGAACUCAUUAAAGGUGGGAAAUUUGUGGGAUUAAUUUGUUCCAGCUUCUAUUUGCCAAGAGAGCAUUUUCCCAGCAUUAUUCUUUCUCCAUAUAUAUUAACUUUGUAAUUGUGGAUCAAAGCCUACUGAGCUUUGGAUGUAUUAAGUGAAUAUUACUGAAAUAGAAACUCAGAAAGGCAUUUUCUGCCAAAAAAUGUAAGUGGAGAAGUCACGAUUGAGUUCAGCUUAUUAAAUCUGUUUACUCAGUGUGCCUAAGUCAUAUUGGAAUUUAAAAGAAAAAAUAAAACAUGGUUACGCUUGGGCUGUGGGACAUGACAAGAAGUAUAUUUUAGAAGAAGUAGUCCUGGAGUACAGGUUUGAAAAACAUCAACGAUACAGAGCAAUAAAUAAGACUUCAUAAAUUAUUGCUUGGAAUAAUAUGUGGCUGUAUGAGACGAAAAUUAUUCAGGAAUUGUGAAAAAUCAGAAUUUUAAAGGCUUGUACUUUAUGUUCAUCUGAAUAUAAGAAUUCCAUCUGGUCCUGUAUCCUGUCUCUGAAAAUUGCUGAUACAUUUGUGCUUUCAAAAGAAGGUGUAAAAAUGUACAGGAAACUACUGUGGCUGGCAUUUUCCUGAACUCUAAUUGCUAAUCUGAUUCAACUUUAGGUAGCUCUUUCCAUGAAAAUAAAUACAUAAAAUAUAUAAAAUCAUUGUAAGUGUCU